ACGCUGGCGGCGUGCCUAAUACAUGCAAGUCGAACGAGAGCGACCGGUGCUUGCACUGGUCAAUCUAGUGGCGAACGGGUGAGUAACACGUGGGUAACCUGCCCAUCAGAGGGGGAUAACAUCCGGAAACGGAUGCUAAAACCGCAUAGGUCUUCGAGCCGCAUGGCUUGAAGAGGAAAAGAGGCGCAAGCUUCUGCUGAUGGAUGGACCCGCGGUGCAUUAGCUAGUUGGUGAGGUAACGGCUCACCAAGGCCGUGAUGCAUAGCCGACCUGAGAGGGUGAUCGGCCACAUUGGGACUGAGACACGGCCCAAACUCCUACGGGAGGCAGCAGUAGGGAAUCUUCCGCAAUGGACGCAAGUCUGACGGAGCAACGCCGCGUGAGUGAAGAAGGUUUUCGGAUCGUAAAACUCUGUUGUUAGAGAAGAACAAGUGCUAGAGUAAACUG
rnacentral:rRNA from 1 species